GAUCAUGGCUCAGGAUGAACGCUAGCUACAGGCUUAACACAUGCAAGUCGAGGGGCAGCAUGAACUUAGCUUGCUAAGUUUGAUGGCGACCGGCGCACGGGUGAGUAACACGUAUCCAACCUGCCGAUGACUCGGGGAUAGCCUUUCGAAAGAAAGAUUAAUACCCGAUGGCAUAAUUCUUCCGCAUGGUAGAACUAUUAAAGAUUCAUCGGUAUGCGAUGGGGAUGCGUU
rnacentral:rRNA from 1 species